GCCUGGGUGGCUCAAUGGUUGAGCAUCUGCCUUCAGUUCAGGGUGUGAUCCUGGGGUCCUGGGAUCAAGUCCCACAUCAGGCU
rnacentral:tRNA from 1 species